UCUGUUCCCAAAGACAAGCCUGGAGUGUGCCCUCGUAGACGAUGGGGCAUGGGGAUAUGUGUAGAGUUAUGUUCCAAUGACAGUGACUGCCCCAAUGAUGAAAAAUUCUGCCACAAUGGAUGUGGGCAUGUCUGCAUUGCACCUUACACAGACAAGCCUGGAGUGUGCCCUCGUAGACGAUGGGGCAUGGGGAUAUGUGUAGAGUUAUGUUCCAAUGACAGUGACUGCCCCAAUGAUGAAAAAUGCUGCUACAAUGGAUGUGGGCAUGUCUGCAUUGCACCUUACACAGACAAGCCUGGAGUGUGCCCUCGUAGACGAUGGGGCAUGGGGAUAUGUGUAGAGUUAUGUUCCAAUGACAGUGACUGCCCCAAUGAUGAAAAAUGCUGCUACAAUGGAUGUGGGCAUGUCUGCAUUGCACCUUACACAGACAAGCCUGGAAUGUGCCCUCGUAGACGAUGGGGCAUAGGGAUAUGUGCAGAGUUAUGUUCCAAGGACAGUGACUGCCCCAAUGAUGAAAAAUGCUGCCACAAUGGAUGUGGGCGUGACUGCAUUGCACCUACACAGUGAAGCCCGGUCGCUGUGUCCUGCCCAAGGGGACCUACAUGUGUGCCGAGUACUGUUACAAAGAUGGCCAGUGCCCCGAGGAACAGAAGUGUUUCCGGAUAUGUUGAUUCUACGCCUGCAGUGAGCCAUUGAAGCUUUAUUGGAAAUUCUUAUUAGUUAUAAGAAAUAACUAGAAAAUUCAAAUUAUUACAUGUACAAUUAUGUCUAUGAAAACUGAUGAUUUUAUGCAAUAAUUAAUAUGAAAAAUAAUCAUAGCUUUUAUGGAAUCUGGACAAACUCACGUGGAUUGCUGAAUUUGAAUAAAACCAGAUUUUGAACACCUG
rnacentral:lncRNA from 1 species